rnacentral:rRNA from 1 species
AUUGAACGCUGGCGGCAGGCCUAACACAUGCAAGUCGAGCGGAUGAAGGGAGCUUGCUCCUGGACUCAGCGGCGGACGGGUGAGUAAUGCCUAGGAAUCUGCCUGGUAGUGGGGGAUAACGUCCGGAAACGGGCGCUAAUACCGCAUACGUCCUGAGGGAGAAAGUGGGGGAUCUUCGGACCUCACGCUAUCAGAUGAGCCUAGGUCGGAUUAGCUAGUUGGUGGGGUAAAGGCCUACCAAGGCGACGAUCCGUAACUGGUCUGAGAGGAUGAUCAGUCACACUGGAACUGAGACACGGUCCAGACCCCUACGGGAGGCAGCAGUGGGGAAUAUUGGACAAUGGGCGAAAGCCUGAUCCAGCCAUGCCGCGUGUGUGAAGAAGGUCUUCGGAUUGUAAAGCACUUUAAGUUGGGAGGAAGGGCAGUAAGUUAAUACCUUGCUGUUUUGACGUUACCAACAGAAUAAGCACCGGCUAACUUCGUG